AAAAAAAAAAAAAAAAAAAGUAGGGAACAUAUUAUGUAGAUUCUUGUUCAAAAAUGUUUUCAGCUUGUAGUUGGUGUGUGCAGUUUCUUAAUCAUUUUCGAUUAAAGUGCUCGAUCACGCAUACUCAGUUUCCAACUUUCCAUUGGAGCAUCUUGCUUUUGCUCAGAUUGAGGCAAUAAAACCAAGAACCCUUUCCAAGGAAAGGCUAGGGAUUUGAUGAAGGGAUGUGCAGAAUGGCCAAGUGAAGGAAUGCUGUAAUAUGAUAAGUCUUGUACUGGGACGAUGGUCUAACAUUAAAAGAGCCCAAAAUCUUGGAGCAUGCCCAGUUCGAAUCUUAUGACGAAGUGAACUGUGUGAGCCCACGAGGAGAGCCAAUGAACCAUUUUUUGGGAGAUACCAGUAUAUAAAUAUAGGUGUUUGAGGAGCAGAGGACUAUUGCGUACAGUGGCCAAAGUACUAAAGACAAAAGCAAAAAACGAAAAAAGAUUUGAAAAUUUGCAUACUUGGGCCAUAACAGGCUGGAGAUGACAAAGACGUGCAUAUUUUCUCCAACCUUUGGGAGAAUCUAACUUUGAACAGUGAAGGAAAUCCAACGCCCAUGACCCAAACUUACUACCUUAGUGGUAGCUACCUACCACUGAAUGCAGUGUGUCUUGAACCACCAAAACUUAUAGCGCAAGUUCAGCAAUAGAAGCACCUACUUGUAUCGUAUUUAAAGCAGACCAUCAGUUCUUGUCUCCAUCAUAUGUAAGACCAUUCUAUUGCUCCCACCAUGCCCUACAUGAAAACUACUAGUCGUGACCAUG
rnacentral:misc_RNA from 1 species